rnacentral:lncRNA from 1 species
CCUGGAGAAAUCCAUGGACUGUAUAGGCCAUGGGGAAGCAGAGUCGGACACAGCUGAGUGACUUUCACUUUCAAAGUCAGAUUAUAAAGGGCCUGAAAGUGAGCUCUUUGGGUCUCCUUCUAUUUUGAUGAGUCUUCAGAAGUUCUGAGUAGCAUUAACUGAUGGAUGUUUGAAGGGAUGGAUGGUUCUGGCUGCUGUUUGCAGACAGGAAUAUAAGGGAAGUGCAUCCAACGAGACAGGCGAGGUCGUCUUUUGUCACUGCAAUCUGACAUGAUUUUUGGCACAAUAUCAAGUCCCUAGACUUCAGUUUCCCUAAACCUGUAAAACAAGAAGGUAAUCGACAACCACAAAAAUGUUGUGUCUUACAGGAGCAAAGACGACUUCUCACUCAUACUUCACAUUCAUCGUAAGUUAGCCAGGGUUCUGCUCCACCCUUCCUCCUUCUGGGACCCAAGGAUGGAGCACUCUCUGUCUGGAUCACUGCAGGUCACCAAGUCACAGGGAAAAGGGAGCAUGGUGACUCACACCCAGGCUCUGCCACGUCAGUCUGGGAGUGACACACAUCACUUCCACUCAUAUCUCAUUGGCUAAAGCAAAUCAUUUGAACAUAUCUAACUUCAAAGGCAGUGGAAAAGUACAAUCCUCCCAUGUGUCCACAAGCUGGCAACUUGGAUGAAUAGCAUUAAUGAAUACGAGACCAGAGGGAAGCAGAAAGACUGAUCAGGAGGCUUUCACAGUAAUCCAGGCAAGAGAGAACAGCUUAUAGCAGGCAGUGGCAAGAGAGGUGUUAGGAAAUAGAUGCAGAAGACAUUUUGAAAGCAGAGACAACAAAAUUUGCUGAUGGAUUGGAUGUGGAGUAAUCAUAACCACCUCACCAUGGAUUUCUUUUGGUGCAGAUUAAAUGAGAUGAUUUAUGUGAAAUUCUUGCACAAUGCCAGAUGCAUAAACCUCCACGAUGGUGUUAUUAUUGUUGUAUUUAUAGAUUGAAGAGGUACUUAUGAUAACAGAACAGAGCAGCUUAAUUUUGGACCAUCCUACUUUCCAAGCAUCAUCCCUUCAGUCUGGGUUUUCCAGGAAACACAACUCUGGCAACCUCCAGAUUCACAUCUUGAUCACUUCCCACUUGGGCACCAGAAAGAAGAGGAUACUUCCCUGCUGGCGGUAG